rnacentral:rRNA from 1 species
UACGUAGGGGGCGAGCGUUGUCCGAAGUUACUGGGCGUAAAGCGCGCGUAGGCGGGGGGUUAAGUGAGAGGUGAAAGGCUGGGGCUCAACCUCAUGCAGUGCCUCUCAUACUGGCCUUCUUGAGGGCGGAUAGGGAGAAGUGGAAUGGCUGGUGUAGCGGUGAAAUGCGUAGAUAUCAGUCGGAACACCGGUGGCGAAGGCGGCUUCUUGGGCCGUUCCUGACGCGUG